rnacentral:rRNA from 1 species
AUGAACGCUGGCGGCGUGCCUAAUACAUGCAAGUCGAGCGAACAGACGAGGAGCUUGCUCCUCUGACGUUAGCGGCGGACGGGUGAGUAACACGUGGAUAACCUACCUAUAAGACUGGGAUAACUUCGGGAAACCGGGGCUAAUACCGGAGAAUAUAUUGAACCGCAUGGUUCAAUAGUGAAAGACGGUUUUGCUGUCACUUAUAGAUGGAUCCGCGCCGCAUUAGCUAGUUGGUAAGGUAACGGCUUACCAAGGCGACGAUGCGUAGCCGACCUGAGAGGGUGAUCGGCCACACUGGAACUGAGACACGGUCCAGACUCCUACGGGAGGCAGCAGUAGGGAAUCUUCCGCAAUGGGCGAAAGCCUGACGGAGCAACGCCGCGUGAGUGAUGAAGGUCUUCGGAUCGUAAAACUCUGUUAUUAGGGAAGAACAAAUGUGUAAGUAACUAUGCACGUCUUGACGGUACCUAAUCAGAAAGCCACGGCUAACUACGUG